rnacentral:lncRNA from 1 species
CAGUAAUGCCAUUCUUUAUGGUCAACAAACAACAUCUAAAUUAAAUAUGCUUCCAUAUGUACAGUCGUUGAACUAAAUAUGAUAACAUGUUUACAGUCAAAAAGGUUAAAACAUAAAUCUUACAAACAAAGUAAAAUAGUUACAUUUGCAAUUUCAACUUUACAUCUUUUUAACAGGAUAUUAAUCCAACAUUCAUUUCUUAUAAAAAUAUCAAAAAGAGGCACCUAAAAGCCUAAAACACUCAUCUAGUAAAAAUAUGCCAGUCUGAUAAUUAGUUUCACCUUUACUGCAAUCAGUUAUUCUUGCUUAUUGUAAAUCUUAUUUCGAGAUGGGUUUGUAAAUCUCGUAUUAAAAAUCUCUUUUUUUAUAAGUAUAGUUCAUACUUAUCUAUUUAUGUUUUUGAGAUACUUUUAGAUAUUUUUUAUACGAAAAAUGCAAAUAAAUGGUUUGGCAUCUUAGAAAUUUGGACCAUGUUGAUUCAGUUGUGGAUCUUAUCUUGCUGAAAUUUUAUGCUUAUCACACAGUAGUGUAGAGUACUGCUCCUAUUAACAUGGGUAAAAAAAAUCUUACAACGGCGAAAACUAUUAACAGUCAAUCAACAAGGUCAACCAUGCUGAAUUAUUUGUGAAUUUUAUUUUGCUUAACAUCUUUGAUAAUUCCAACAUUGCUCUAUUUUUAAUGGUUUCUGCAAAAAAUGGAUAAAAUGGGUAAACAAAAAUUUCAAAUGCAAAAAAAAUUAAAUUACAAAAACACUGAACUCCCUACUUUAAAGUUCAAUCAACAAUUUUGAUAACUGUUUUAUUGUUUUAUUGUCCUGGUUAUUGUUACUGUCUUAAAGUUUUAUCUAUUUAAAAUAAUAGCAAAAAACUUUAAAAAAAAAAAAGUUUAAAUGUACAUUUCAGGGUCAAUAACUCUGAAAUGAAUUGUUUGAUAUAUAUCUGAAAAUUACUUAGGCAAAAGACUUUGACUUGCUGAUCAAUUCUAGCCACAUACUGCUUUAGUUUAAGAGAAACAGGCCAAAAACUGCAUGUUUAUUAUCAGCAACAGUGUCCAUGUUUAUUGAUGGAAGGAAGUCAAUUUACAAUUUUAAACAAGAUUUUCUUUGGAAUAUUAAGGUAGUUUGGUAACAUUAGUUCCAGUAGUUUCCAUGGAGAAGAUCUUUAUGACAGAUGACUGAUGCCAAGUGAUGUCAAAGGUCAGGUGAGCUAAAAACUGUACUGCAAGGUUACCAUUGAUAAGGUUAAAUGGUAAAAAUAAAUUUACAUGGUGACAUUUAAAACUUCUAAUUCAAAGUUAUUCCAUUGGUUGUAAAUAAUUAAAAUUUGAUCACAGUUUUAUUACAUCUCUGAUUCUCAUAUUUAAUUAAGUGACAAAUGUUUAUCCAGAUUUGCAAUUCUUUUUUUACCAAUUUACUUUAAAAGUCCAAAUAGUUUUGACGUUUUUUUAACUGACAUUGUAAAAUCCAAUUCUAUUGAAUAGCAAAAUUUAAAAAUCAACUAUAUGAAUUCAAAUAGUAUUAACGUUUAUAUAUCUUAUACAGUGCACAGUUAGAAUAGAUCCAUGUUAAGUGUAGAUAACUUUUAAUCAUAUUUUAGUUUGUAACUUCAGCUUAUUUUAACAUCUUAAUAGCAUUUUAAUAGCACAUAUUUUUUUCCAAAUGAAUGCAAAUUAAAUUGAUAGGUUCAAUGGUAAAAAUAAAUUCAAAUCAUGACAUUUCAAACUUCUAAUUUAAAGUUAUUCCAUUAAUAGUUGUAAAUAAUUAAAAUUUGAUCACAGCUUUAUAACAUCUAACAAUUUAAUUAAUACACAAAUGCAACAUCAAACUUAUACACCCAAUCAUAUUAAAUAAUUGUUUCAUUUUUGUCUGUACUAUUUAUAAAGUUUGGUCUGCCAGCACUUUUAUGCCUAUUAAUAAGUGUCCUAAGUCCAGAAGGCAAUGUUUAGCCAUAUUCAGGACAAGAACAUGCAACUGUAAAAGGAGUAUAGAGCUACUUUAUAAAACAACCUAUCAAUAUAAAACAUUAACACUUUGCCGUCAGCAUUUACUGCAUUGUUAU